GACGGGACGAAGCGGAUCGGACCGGACCGGACCGGACCGGACCGGGGGCGGCGCGGGUGGCGGCCCGGAGGCGGGUGCCCGCUCCCUCCGCCGCCGACGGAGCCCCCGGGACGGGCAGGGCACGGCGGGGUUCCGCGGCGCCGAGGUGGUGGCAGCGGCCGCUGGUGCGAGGAGCGCCGCGUCCAGGCGCUGGGAGUGGGCGCUCGCUGCCGCCGGGGCGGGGAGCGUCGCCUUGCGCAGCCCUCUCAGCGCGCGGCGGGGAGACCCGAGGGCGCAGACGCGAGUGAGGCGGUGGCGGGAGGUGCCGCACCCCGGGGGCCCCGGCAGCCCGCCCGCACCCCCCACCGAAGGCCGGUGUCCGUCCGCGGCGGAAGGCGCGCGCUCACCCGCCUCGCUGGUGGCGAGGGGUGGCGGGGGCGAUCGCAGGGUAACUCGGGCUGGAGGGCAGCUCCGGAGGUCUCCCGUCCAACCUCCUGCCCCAAGCAGGGUCACCUUGGCGUCAGGCCGGGCUGCUCAGGGCUUUCUCCAGUCGGGUCUUGAAAACCUCCAAGGAUGGAGACGGCAGCCUGCUCCACUGCUUGUGUGUCCUCAUGGGGAAAAAGGGUUCCCCACACUCAGUCUGAGCCUCUCUUGUUCCAGCCUGUGCCUCUUCUCUCCCCCUCCCACCAUGCACCACAGUGAAGAGCCCAGGCCAGUCUUGAAAACCUCCUCGUAGGUCCUGGGUGGCUGCUCUCUGGUGCCCCUGAACCUUCCCUCCUCCAGGUUGAAUGAGCCCAGGUCCCUCAGCCUCAUCUCGCAGGGAGGUGCUCCAAACCUGACCAUCUCGGUGGUCCUCCGCUGACUCGCUGCAGUUGUCAAUGGCUUCGUUGUACUGGGGGACCCAAACUGGGCACAAUGAUGUCUAGACGUUGUCUAACGAGUGCUGAGUAAAGGCAAUAAUCCCGUCCCUCGAGCUACUGGCUGUGUUCCUGUUGAUACAGCCCAGGGCGGUGUUGGCCUGAGGACGAGCUGUUUGAGCUAAAAGAAGAUGUCACAAAAACCAGACACGGUUCAAAUUACACAUCAGUAUUUGAAUUUAAUGGUGGAAGGGAAAGGGACAGGGACGUUUCAAGAAGAAGCUUCAGAAACUUACACAAAACUUAAGCAAAAACUUAUGACCAUGAGACCACUGUAGUUUUAUUCAAAAUAUGAAUUGCUUUAUGUUACAGAAUGAGUUAGCAUGUUUCAAGAAGUGUGUAUCUGAGAUAGUUAAAUCUGAUUGUUUCGUGAAGUCCAUGCAGUUUAUUUGUUCGAUCCCUCCAGCAAUGUACUGUUUGAAAGUCGUAUUAGUCAAAGCUGACUAGAGUCACUGUUAAGUCACACAAGUGAGAGAUGUAGCUGGUAUUGCUUAUUCAAGGGGUGAGAAUACAGGACUGAGUCCAGCAAGCAACCAGAAGCUCCAAUUUCUGUCUGAGCUCCUUUUUUUCUGGAAACCAGGUCUCGUGAGACUAUACUGCUUCCUGGCUGAAUGGAAAAGAAGUAGCCAUUGAAGUACAGAGCCUAAGGCUAAUUCCUGCUCUAACUCCCAUUGAAACCAACAGGAUAUCAUUGCUUAAAUAAUUUAGACAAUUAAGCUUUUGGAUGCUACAAUGAGGAGGACCAUGCAAGUGCACUGAGAACAUCCCACCCGUCAACUCAGUAUCUUUCCAGCCCACAUCAGUGUGAGGUCAGUAGGACAGGAGAGAAUCCCGACAAAGAGACAGAACCAUCAGUUACCGCAGUGAGAGCGAAGCAUGGAGGGAGGCAGGACAGACAUGGAGAGAGCUCUCUUCAGAUUCAGCUCAGGAACUGUCUAAUUCUCCAGACCUGCCCAUGCUGGAAAACCAAAAGCUUCUGUGCAGGAGGAGGGAUGUGCUUCUGGUGCACAGUACAGUUCAGCUGCCAAAGUUGUGCUGUGUCAAGACUCUUUGAGGCUGUGAAGGAGUCUGAAGAGGAUUUAACUCAUGAUGAUGAAACAGGACCAGAACACUGCACUGCACAAAGCAGAGAUCAAACACAUUUGCCCUCAAAAGAAGUGUAAGAAAUUGUGAGAGAGCUGCAAUGCCUUGGUGAGCUGAGAAUGAGCAGCCUGAGGCAAUACAUAUCCAGAGAGCAGCAAAUUCAGCAAAGCAGCAGCUAAACACCUCAUUCUGCAGCCUAAGUAUAACCCGUUUCUUGUGAGAUUUCCCUAUACCUAAGAGAGAAGGAAGCUUUUAUUUUGGGGGGGGGAAGAAAAUGUAAUCAAAUUGGAGAUCGAAUCUCUGCUCUGAAUUCACCAUACGAUUGUAUGCUAAAUACAUUCUGACAACUGCGAUUCUCCAUUCAUCACUGAAGCUUUGCCUUCAUUGCAAAACUUCUUGCACUUAUGCCUUAAUCACACUUCUAGUGAUAUAGAUGGCUCAAGUAUCCAUUGACUGCAGUGGGACAAUAAUCUUUAAUGUGCAAUUAUCAAAUUUCUGUCUGCAGACACUAUUUAAAACUGAGUCAUGUUAUAUGAUCGUGCAUUCAGGAAAUGAAGGCGACAGUCUCUGACUGGAAUUUCAUCUAUUUUAAAGCAGAGACAAUUCAGGAAAGAAACUGUAGACUGUGGGUCAGCAAUAGACUGAUUCACAUUAAAAAGAGAAAACUAUGCAAAAGCUAUAGCUUGCUAUGAUUUGGUUACUUUAUGAAUCUCACAAAGUAUUCACCAACACGUAGCAUUUUUCUUUUACCUCUUUUCAAUUCAUGCAAAGAAUAAACAGCAUGCAUCUUUCAACAUAGAAGCAUAUCAUUGGUUUAAUAUGCAUUGCUUUGAACUAUAUUUCAACAGGAUGCUGCCAAACAGACAAUAAAUACUAGUUUCCAGUCCUCAAUUGCAACUCCUUUCUGAAAAAACUAGUCAUGCAAAUUGACUAUUUUGGGAAAAUAAUUCUGUUUUCACCCUUUUUUUAAAUGUGUAAUGUCCAUGUUUUUAUUUUUAAAUGCUGCAGACCCACCAUACAAUCCUAAUCCAAAUGCACUAUAUGUUUAUUCAGUAUUAGUACUAAUAACAAUGAAUUACUUCUGCAGCUGACUAACUCUCAGAUCCAUGCAGGAGAAGAAUAAUGUAACAGUUGCCAAAGAAAAUCCAAGGCCAGCCCAGUCCCUGUUCCUAAGAUUUCACUUUGCGGUUUUCUGACAGGAGUUGCCUUUUUUGCUAUUGGAAAAGUGUUUGGCUAUUGAGUAAUAACUGGUACCUUAUUCAUACUGCACUUUUCAAAGGAAGUUACAAAGGUUAGCUAAUUUAUCUUGUGCCUAGGAUAUACUGACAUGCACCUUAUACAUUAAAGAAGCCAAAUUGGAGGCAAUAAAGAACUCCUAAAACCAUAGAA